rnacentral:snRNA from 1 species
GUGGAAUAACUUUGGCAGCACAAUAGUAAAAUUUGGACAGUGCAAAGAUUAGCAUGGUUGCUGUGCAAGGAUGACACACAAAUUCAUGAAGUGUUCAUAUUUUUU